rnacentral:rRNA from 1 species
GUGCAGCAGGCGCGAAACCUUCGCAAUGCACGAAAGCGCGACGAGGCUACUCCGAGUGCCAUCCGCUGAGGAUGACUUUUGCCAGGUCUAAACCGCCUGGAGAAUAAGGGGAGGGCAAGUCUGGUGUCAGCCGCCGCGGUAAUACCAGCUCUUCGAGUGGUCGGGACGAUUAUUGGGCCUAAAGCAUCCGUAGCCGGUUCAGUAAGUCUCCUGUCAAAUUCAACGGCUCAACCGUUGAGCUGCAGGAGAUACCGCUGAGCUAGGAGGCGGGAGAGGCGGACGGUACUCCAUGAGUAGGGGUGAAAUCUUCUGAUCCAUGGAAGACCACCAGUGGCGAAGGCGGUCCACCAGAACGCGCUCGACGGUGAGGGAUGAAAGCUGGGGGAGCGAACCGGAGUAGAUACCCGGGUAGUCC